rnacentral:rRNA from 1 species
AUGGGACACCGCCCUACAAUUUUUUGCUCCAGGAGCGUACACAGACGAGGAGCACCCCGAGUGCUCUCAGUCGAAGAGAAACUAAGGGAAAGGGAAAGGGGGACAGUAAAAACAGAACAGCAUCGCGAGGGCGAGUCGCAGCAUGUCAAAACUGGGAUCCAUCCACGAAGGGCUUCAGAGGCACAGCGGGUUGACGGCCGCCUCCCCCGGCAACGGAUCAGGCCGUCAGGCAGAUCAGAUGUUACAGCCGCAGCAGAGGAAGAAGCCGCAGAGCGCGGCGGAGAGGACGACGGCCUCGGCGGCGUAGAGGACGUGGAAGAGCGCGUCGUCGAGGAGGGAUACCACGACCCCGGCCUUCUCCUCCCACCUCCACUGGUACGCCCGCGCGCUCUGCACCUGCACCUCCACGACCUUGAACCACCCGAGCGCCAUGGCCUCUUGCUCUUCGACCUCCGGCCCGGACGGAUGGCUCUUUCUGGUGGCGGAUGCGCGGUUGGCUCGAUUUAA